UGGGGAAUAUUGCACAAUGGGCGAAAGCCUGAUGCAGCAACGCCGCGUGAGUGAUGAAGGCCUUCGGGUUGUAAAGCUCUGUCUUCUGGGACGAUAAUGACGGUACCAGAGGAGGAAGCCACGGCUAACUACGUGCCAGCAGCAGCGGUAAUACGUAGGUGGCAAGCGUUGUCCGGAUUUACUGGGCGUAAAGGAUGCGUAGGCGGAUACUUAAGUCAGAUGUGAAAAUCCCGGGCUUAACUUGGGAACUGCAUUUGAAACUGGGUAUCUAGAGUGCGGGAGAGGAAAGUGGAAUUCCUAGUGUAGCGGUGAAAUGCGUAGAGAUUAGGAAGAACACCAGUGGCGAAGGCGACUUUCUGGACCGUAACUGACGCUGAGGCAUGAAAGCGUGGGGAGCAAACA
rnacentral:rRNA from 1 species